rnacentral:rRNA from 1 species
AGAACGUUUUGAUCCUGGCUCAGAUGAACGCUGCGGCGUGCUUAACACAUGCAAGUCGACGAUGAAGCCGGAGCUUGCUCUGGUGGAUUAGUGGCGAACGGGUGAGUAACACGUGAGUAACCUACCUUGACUCUGGGAUAAGCCGGGAAACUGGGUCUAAUACCGGAUAUGAGUCAUCACCGCAUGGUGGUGGUUUGAAAGAUUUAUCGGUCUUGGAUGGACUCGCGGCCUAUCAGCUUGUUGGUGAGGUAAUGGCUCACCAAGGCGACGACGGGUAGCCGGCCUGAGAGGGUGACCGGCCACACUGGGACUGAGACACGGCCCAGACUCCUACGGGAGGCAGCAGUGGGGAAUAUUGCACAAUGGGCGGAAGCCUGAUGCAGCGACGCCGCGUGAGGGAUGACGGCCUUCGGGUUGUAAACCUCUUUCAGUAGGGAAGAAGCGAAAGUGACGGUACCUGCAGAAGAAGCACCGGCUAACUACGUG